GAGCCUAUAAAUACAUGGCUACAUAAGACAUUCAAGGUAAUGUUUUCUCACUCGAAAAACCAUUUUCUUGCCGCCACUCUCUCUCCCCUCUCUCCCACAUGGCUAAGUGCCACCACACACAGCUCGGCCACCCGGCUCUCCCUGUGACAGAAAACUCCAUCCACUUUACCUAUUGUCGUAUCUUUAUCAAGAUCCAAUCGAACUAACUUAGGCAUCAGAGGGCCUUUGGUGUCCCCCAGGGUAUGGUCUAUUUACUCCUAUUUAUUUCUUAGGGAUCGAGGAAGGGAGAGAAGGAAGAUCGAGGAUCUAGGAAUCAACCCACGAAUAUUCCCUGUGCGGAAUUUUGCUCAAACAUAUUUGGUGCAUUCAUUGAGAGAUUUGAGAUAUACUCAAUGUGAUGCUUUCUAAUCCAAAAUAAGGGAAAUCCCCUCUAAUCAAUCGAUUCGGUCAUCGAUCCAACGCCCUCAAGUCACCAUGGUGAGAGACCGUACUGCGAGGAACACAAUGAGAAUGACCACUACAUCACCGGC
rnacentral:lncRNA from 1 species